CUUGGUCAUUUAGAGGAAGUAAAAGUCGUAACAAGGUCUCCGUAGGUGAACCUGCGGAGGGAUCAUUACACAAAUAUGAAGGCGGGCUGGAACCUCUCGGGGUUACAGCCUUGCUGAAUUAUUCACCCUUGUCUUUUGCGUACUUCUUGUUUCCUUGGUGGGUUCGCCCACCACUAGGACAAACAUAAACCUUUUGUAAUUGCAAUCAGCGUCAGUAACAAAUUAAUAAUUACAACUUUCAACAACGGAUCUCUUGGUUCUGGCAUCGAUGAAGAACGCAGCGAAAUGCGAUAAGUAGUGUGAAUUGCAGAAUUCAGUGAAUCAUCGAAUCUUUGAACGCACAUUGCGCCCUUUGGUAUUCCAAAGGGCAUGCCUGUUCGAGCGUCAUUUGUACCCUCAAGCUUUGCUUGGUGUUGGGCGUCUUGUCUCUAGCUUUGCUGGAGACUCGCCUUAAAGUAAUUGGCAGCCGGCCUACUGGUUUCGGAGCGCAGCACAAGUCGCACUCUUUAUCAGCAAAGGUCUAGCAUCCAUUAAGCCUUUUUUUCAACUUUUGACCUCGGAUCAGGUAGGGAUACCCGCUGAACUUAAGCAUAUCAAUAAGCGGAGGAAAAGAAACCAACAGGGAUUGCCCUAGUAACGGCGAGUGAAGCGGCAACAGCUCAAAUUUGAAAUCUGGCUCUUUUAGAGUCCGAGUUGUAAUUUGCAGAG
rnacentral:rRNA from 1 species